GGGGGAUAUUGCACAAUGGAGGAAACCCUGAUGCAGCAACGCCGCGUGAAGGAUGAAGGUUUUCGGAUUGUAAACUUCUUUAGUCAGGGACGAAAAAAUGACGGUACCUGAAGAAUAAGCCACGGCUAACUACGUGCCAGCAGCCGCGGUAAUACGUAGGUGGCAAGCGUUGUCCGGAAUUACUGGGUGUAAAGGGCGUGUAGGCGGGAAUGUAAGUCAGAUGUGAAAUCUCAGGGCUUAACCCUGGAGCUGCAUCUGAAACUAUGUUUCUUGAGUGCCGGAGGGGAAAGCGGAAUUCCUAGUGUAGCGGUGAAAUGCGUAGAUAUUAGGAGGAACACCAGUGGCGAAGGCGGCUUUCUGGACGGUAACUGACGCUGAGGCGCGAAAGCGUGGGGAGCAAAC
rnacentral:rRNA from 1 species